GCCCGCAGCCGGCGGCGGAGCGGGAGGCAGGCGGCUGAGACGGGCGCGCCAUUUGCAUUCGCCCGCAGUCAUUUUUAUCCGCGGAGGAUUUCAAAGCCCCAAACAGAUCCACCCACUGAGGCGGCUGAGAAAAGGAGUUCGGCAGGUGCAGCGCUGUCAGGAGAUGAGACAAGCUAGACACACACCUGCUCUGAGACAGGGUACUUUCAGCAUCGAUCAACAGAAAACCUUGAGUCAACUUGCUAACCUGUGGGCUGACAUGGGGGCAGCCUUGUCCGGUGGGACCGUCUAAGACGAUGGGAAUGUCCAGUACGGCAGCCAUGAGCCACGUGUGGCCAGUGAGCACUUGAAAUGUGCCAGCGUGACUAAGGAAGCAUUGUGUUAGAGAGCUUCAUUCCCCACAACGUACCCACCCAGAUGCAGUGCUUCCUGGAAUGAACCAUGGUCUCCGUUUUUAUUCAAGUGAAAAUGGAUUGAAUGGGAAAACGAAAUAGGCAUGAAGCUGCCGGCCCUGAGGUCUCUGCUUGGAGAGAGUAUCCGAAUAACUGGGAGCAAGUGGGUUUCCAUAGACUUUAC
rnacentral:lncRNA from 1 species